UACGAAGGGUGCAAGCGUUACUCGGAAUUACUGGGCGUAAAGCGUGCGUAGGUGGUUUGUUAAGUCUGAUGUGAAAGCCCUGGGCUCAACCUGGGAAUUGCAUUGGAUACUGGCAGGCUAGAGUGCGGUAGAGGAUGGCGGAAUUCCGCGUGUAGCAGUGAAAUGCGUAGAGAUGCGGAGGAACACCGAUGGCGAAGGCAGCCCCCUGGGCUAGCACUGACGCUCAGGCACGAAAGCGUGGGGAGCAAACAGG
rnacentral:rRNA from 1 species